CCUCUCACGUCCUCCUCGUUUCCUUCCACUCCCUCGCGACCCCCGCCGCCGCGCCAGGGCCUCGUCUCGCCCUCACCGGCCACCGGCGACCUCCAACCCUUGUUCUCCGCCUUGUCGCCAUAGCCACCUUGAGCUCGAGCAUAGGAGCGGCUCGGCAGGACGAUGGGGCAGCAGCCAGCCGCGCCUCGUCCGUGUCGCGUGGUGGCCCAGAUGCGGUCACCCUGUGCUCUGCCUCCACGAGCGCGGCCUCGAUCCAGACUCGGCAGGAGGAGGGGAGCAGCAUCCGGCCAUGCUGUGUUGGCCGUGGAGGAGGAAGGAGCUCAUGUGACUAGGGUUCGGCUACCCUCGUCAUCCAUCUCCUCGAUCUCUCUCUCUGUCUGGCCGUGGUCUGAAGGAGGAAGAGGGGACCCAGCGAAAUCGAGCGAUGCGGGCUGCAAUAUCCUAAAUAGGUGGCGGUCGAGACCACGGGAGCGGGAGCGACGGCCAUCUCCCCCCGCCCCACUCUCUUUACCUCUUCUGUGGAGAUGCUUUGCUGGGGACAUAUGAUUUCAUCCCAUUCUGUACUAUCCAUCAGGCCUCGGAUCCACGGCUUCUACAUCUUCCUCCUCCGGCCCCUGCCAUCCAAGAUAGAGACGGCUUGGAUGGCAAGGGCCAAGCAUCGGCAUGGUUGACGGCUUCCAAGAUUAAAGUGGUCAAUUAUGAAUGACGAUGCAGCCUGCAGAGUCAGGGUACCGACACCCAAAUAAAUUCAGGCCAGUCCUCGAUGUGAAGAAGCUAAGGGAGGCGGAUCCCGACCCUUAUGACAGCCAAAAUUAGGCCGCCACUCGUCUCUCUCCCGCACCUGCUCUUCAGAUGGCCAACAACACUUCGCGAGCAAUGACUGUUGUCCAGUUAAGAGCAAGAAAGAUCUUGUUGUUACUUGUCUUUUCAACAGUUCUUCUGUGUGGAAGGCUCUUUGCUCACACUCAAAUACUACCUCUGAAACAUGGAAGAAGGAAAAGGUUACUCUUCUGAUCUUGAGAAAACAGUUUCAGAGAGGCUAGCAGAUGCAGAAGAAUCUCUAAAGAAGUUGAAGCAGGUUCUCUUCAAUUUGCUGUUGUGCUAGGCAUGAACAGAAUGGCGUCCUCUUCUUGCGAGCCACACUGAUGUUGGCUUCUGGUUUCUGCUAUAAUGUUUUUUUUACUAUGGACAGCGUUUCUUGAGGCUAUGUCUCUACUAUAGGUCUCCGCAUUUCGGGGGACCAAGUCCGACGACGGGAGAUUCUACAUAUAUUUUCUAAAAGACAUGUCGCUUGGUCGAAGCCUUGAUCAUGGUGAUAUGUGUUUAUUCGUCCGGUGACACAGUAGAACAAUAACAUGUGUGCACGGUGAUGUUUCAGUUUCUACUAGAAGGUUUCAAAAUUGAAUGCAUGGAGGGUUUAAAUGAGUCUUGUACAAGACUGAGAAUAAAUUAUGCUUUCUGAGUUUCAAGCUACUGAAAGUAAUUAAAGAUUUGCCUUUGCUAUGUAAGAAUGGUUGUAUGUGUUAAUUAGUGGUGCACAUUUUUUGAGACCGUCUAAAAUUCUACUCCCUUUGUUCCUAAA